rnacentral:rRNA from 1 species
AGCGAACGCUGGCGGCAGGCCUAACACAUGCAAGUCGAACGAACCUUUCGGGGUUAGUGGCGGACGGGUGAGUAAACGGUGGGAAAGUGCGUUUAGGAUCGGCAUAACUCAGGGAAACUUGUGCUAAUAACGAAUGUGCAUUCCGGGGGCGAGAUUAAUCGCCUUUAGAGCGGCCCGCGUAUGGUUAGCUAGUUGGUUGAGGUAAUGGCGCACCAAGGCGACGUUCAGUAGCUGGGCGGGGAGGAGGACCAGCCACAUUGGGACUGAGGCACGGCCCAAACUCCGAGGGGAGGCAGCGGAGGGGAAGCUUGCGGAAGGGGCGAAAGUGUAGCGCAGCCGUGCCGCGUAAAAGGGGAAGGGCGUAGGAGUGUAAAAUUCUUACACCGGAGACGAGAAUGACGGUACCCGGAGAAGAAGCCCCGGCUAACUUCGUG